AUUGAACGCUGGCGGCAUGCCUUACACAUGCAAGUCGAACGGCAGCAUGAUCUAGCUUGCUAGAUUGAUGGCGAGUGGCGAACGGGUGAGUAAUACAUCGGAACGUGCCCUGUAGUGGGGGAUAACUAGUCGAAAGAUUAGCUAAUACCGCAUACGACCUGAGGGUGAAAGUGGGGGACCGCAAGGCCUCAUGCUAUAGGAGCGGCCGAUGUCUGAUUAGCUAGUUGGUGAGGUAAAGGCUCACCAAGGCGACGAUCAGUAGCUGGUCUGAGAGGACGAUCAGCCACACUGGGACUGAGACACGGCCCAGACUCCUACGGGAGGCAGCAGUGGGGAAUUUUGGACAAUGGGCGAAAGCCUGAUCCAGCAAUGCCGCGUGUGUGAAGAAGGCCUUCGGGUUGUAAAGCACUUUUGUCCGGAAAGAAAUGGCUCUGGUUAAUACCUGGGGUCGAUGACGGUACCGGAAGAAUAAGGACCGACUAACUACGUG
rnacentral:rRNA from 1 species